AAUUGAGUUCAGAUCAUUCUGGGUCAACCUGUCUAAUCUGAAAAUGAUCCAGUUUUACCUAUUUGUUGUCCAACCAAACCACCACACGUUAUUUGAAGUAUCGUUUUUAGCAUGGUCUGAUGAGAAAGGAAAUUUGGCAUUUAUUGAUUCAUAUUAUAUCCAGCUAUGCCUAUUGAUUUGACGAGAAAGGAAAUUUGGCAUUUAUAACCGCCACCCAACUGUGCCCCCGAUCCCUCGUCCCCCAACCCAUCGACUAUCCCACCGCCUCCCCUUCCACCUUUUGGACCAACUUCUUCCUUGUCCGCAAUGUCAACGGAUGGCUCCAUGGUUCUAGAUAUCCUCCGCAGCAUUCCUGCCCUUUUCGACCCCUCCUUCGCUGCCGGCUUCUUUUGCAAUGCCGCCUACGAUACCUUCCUUUACGUCGUAUUCAUUGUCUACACCAACCGCGGCGUCGAGAUCACCAACCCCAUGAUAGGAUCCCCAUAGACCGUGUGGUCUGCCAAUUGGGACCGUCCCGUAUGCGAGAUCGCCAUCCUCCAUUUCACCGAAGAUGGGAACUUGAUCCUUCGAGAUGCUGAUAGUACCGUUGUCUGGUCCACCCACACAUUAGGCCGAUCCAUCUUGGAUGUUGAGGGAGGGGCAGAGGCUGAUAGCCAACAUCUUCAACAUGAAUUGGAUUGGAGGUUAUAGCUGCAGCUCAAGCUGGAAGGCACAAUGAGAAAAGAGAGAACUAUGGCGAUUCUCUGAUUAUUGAUCCAUGGGGAACAAUAAUAGC